rnacentral:rRNA from 1 species
UACGUAGGUGGCAAGCGUUGUCCGGAUUUAUUGGGUUUAAAGGGUGCGUAGGCGGUCUUAUAAGUCAGUGGUGAAAUACGGCAGCUCAACUGUCGAGGUGCCAUUGAUACUGUAGGACUUGAGUACAGACGAGGUAGGCGGAAUUGACGGUGUAGCGGUGAAAUGCUUAGAUAUCGUCAAGAACACCGAUAGCGAAGGCAGCUUACUAGGCUGUAACUGACGCUGAGGCACGAAAAGUGUGGGGGAUCAAACAGG